rnacentral:rRNA from 1 species
GGUGGCAAUAGCGAAGAGGAUACACCCGUUCCCAUUCCGAACACGGAAGUUAAGCUCUUCAGCGCCGAUGGCAGUUGGGGGCUUCCCCCUGCGAGAGUAGGACGUUGCCAG